rnacentral:rRNA from 1 species
CGGUGGCGGCUCUAUCAUGCAGUCGAGCGAUGGAUUAAGAGCUUGCUCUUAUGAAGUUAGCGGCGGACGGGUGAGUAACACGUGGGUAACCUGCCCAUAAGACUGGGAUAACUCCGGGAAACCGGGGCUAAUACCGGAUAACAUUUUGAACCGCAUGGUUCGAAAUUGAAAGGCGGCUUCGGCUGUCACUUAUGGAUGGACCCGCGUCGCAUUAGCUAGUUGGUGAGGUAACGGCUCACCAAGGCAACGAUGCGUAGCCGACCUGAGAGGGUGAUCGGCCACACUGGGACUGAGACACGGCCCAGACUCCUACGGGAGGCAGCAGUAGGGAAUCUUCCGCAAUGGACGAAAGUCUGACGGAGCAACGCCGCGUGAGUGAUGAAGGCUUUCGGGUCGUAAAACUCUGUUGUUAGGGAAGAACAAGUGCUAGUUGAAUAAGCUGGCACCUUGACGGUACCUAACCAGAAAGCCACGGCUAACUACGUGCCAGCAGCCGCGGUAAUACGUAGGUGGCAAGCGUUAUCCGGAAUUAUUGGGCGUAAAGCGCGCGCAGGUGGUUUCUUAAAUCUGAUGUGAAAGCCCACGGCUCAACCCGUGGAGGGGCAUUGGAAACUGGGGAAAACUUGAGUGCAAAAAGAAGAAAGGGGAAUUCCCUGGGUAUCCGGUGAAAUGC